CAUGGCCGUGAAUAUUUACAAAAACGGCCGUUUUAAAUCGUGAAAAACGGACUUUUCGUGCUCAAAACUGUCAAAAACGGCCAUAUCGGAACAGAAAUAUAAGUUUCAUAACCUCGUUUUUAAUUCCGAAUUCGCGAAAAAUUGUCGACUCGCGUAACUGAUGUUUGCUUGUUUUAAUCGAUUUUAAAGUGUUGUGUAACCGGUGAAUAGUAAAAAGCUCUGCCUAGCAACGUCGGUAUCAAAAAAAUGGCGACGCAGAACGCUCGUUACUACACAAAGAAAAUUAACAGCAAAAUAAUCCCGAUUUAUUGAAAUUUGGGAUAACAGUGAAGAAACAAAAGCUUUCUACAGAAGGAUCAAAUGACAACCUUCCAGGGCGAUAUUCAUGCACUGGCGAGGGUCAGGCUCACAGAACAUGAAAAAUUAUCAUAAAAAAGGAAUUAUCCUCUUCAGAUAUUGAGAGAAUUAUUGACAUUUUCAAGAGUAAAAAGAACAGAGUUCUAAAGCUGUAAAGUCCAGAACAUGUCUGAGUUUUGUGCCCUUGAAAUGUUCUAUGUUUAUAAAUGUUGUUCCUGUGGUAAAGAAGUGUUGGGACCAGGUAUUUUAGUUGCAUUUGGUUCAUGAGUGUUUUGCAAAUCAGAUAUAUGUGUACGUGUUGUUUUUGUAUCAAAUACAGUAUUCAUAGAAGGAAAAUAUGCCUUUAUUGCAUUAUUUAAGGAAAUUUUGAUUAACAUGCCUUAACUAUACUUAUGCAUUGAACUUUGAAUUUCACAAUUUUAAGAAGUUUGCGACUCAAUUUUUCACAAUUUUGAAAAGUUCGCGACUCAAUUUUUCACAAUUUUGACAAGUUCGUGACUCAUUUUUUCACAAAGUGAGGGGCCAGGGCCGCUUCACAAAGUCAGGAAAAAAAGCCCUGGAAAGUUACAAUUUAAUCUAACAGGCUUCAAGAAAAAUCUACAAUGGAGUGAAAUAAGGUUUAAAUUUUUUACAAAGUUUUUAUUCUUUGCUUAUUGCUGGAUAAAUUGUCCCAAAAUACUGAAAAUUGCUAGUCUGCUGUAUCUCAGCAGUGACAUUUUAAAUGAUAUCCAAAGAUAGAGAGAGAUCCAAUUACCAAAGUUUACCCAAACACCAGCGUCAUGUGUGAUAAAUUUACUCCUAUUUCAGCACAUUUACUUUACUUGGCUCUUGUUUUAUGAAUGUUAUAAUGAAAUCUUCUGAACACAAGUGACAAACUGCACAAAUCAAUUGAGUUACUUUGGGUCUUAGGUAAUGGUAAGCUCACUAUUUUCCUUUGACCCUCAUGUUAUUUGCAUUAACAGGCAAGUUAAUAAAGAUUAAUGAUUAUAAUUUUCCAGAUGGUUCAACUGAUGGAACAUAAUCCAACCACAAUAAAAAGAUUUUGAUUGUGCAAGUUUUGCAGUGCUGCCUUUUACCUGAUGAUGAAACUAGUUCCGGCCAUUAUCCGAGGGAGAAACAAGAAUGGUCAAGAGGUCAGGGUCUGGCGGGGGAACAAGCAUGACAUAAAGCCUGUGCUUGAUGCCGUCAGCAUUUCUGCCUGCAAAGGUUAUGUCAUGCAAAGACCUCAGCAAAACAGUGCCACAUGACACCUCCCCCAACAAGGCAGUGAUACUCCAAAUGGACUACCCCAGGAAAAAAUUGAAAUCAACUUAUUAAAAAAACAAUUUAACCAACUGAUUAAUUAAUUGCUUUGCUGCACAUUGGAGUGGCAUACAUUGUUAUAGUAUAUCCUGUUUAAAUUGAGACUAAAAAUAGGGGGUGUUAGAUUGUUUAAUAUUUACCCUAUCAUAAGGUGAUCAGAUCAACAAUAAAACAUUACCGGUACUGUCAGUAUAUUUCAUUGUGUACAUUUUAUUGUUUAUAUUUUAUAAUCUCAUUUAAAAAAAUGUUUUUUAUUGAUGGUUGCUUAUUUUGCUUAUUCUUCCUGCAUAAAGUUUUUUACAGAAAAUGUUCUGUACAGAAUGUAAGGUUGAACAGAUUUUAUUCUGCACAGAAUUCUAUUCUCACAUUUUGGUUCUCCCCAGAUUUAAUUCUGCCCAGCUUUUUUCUGCCUCGAACAAAUUUUGCUUAAUUUAAAUAAUUCGUAAAAUCUGUACAGAAUUCAUUCUUUGUUUAUAUGGAAAAAAUCUAUAAAUAGAAAUCUGGUUCAACUCAUUUCAAAUGGACACCAAAUAUUUUCUGCACAUAUUCUUUACAGAUUUUGUGUAUUUUAUUCUGCACAUAAUCUAGUUGCAGUCUGCCCAAACUUUUUCGUACAGGUUGGUAUUUUCUAAGUAGAAUGUAAACAAGGUUUACACCAUAAAGCCAUUUACGAAAAACUACCCUAUCCCAUGGCAGCCAUGUUUUUCAACAGACCAUAACCAUAAAGGAACUCAGCCUAGAUAGAUAUUAUAAAAACAAAUGUUGUGUCUAAGUUUAAUGAAGAUUUGACUACAAAUAUGACUUCUUGAGUGUAAACAAGGUUUUACUUUAGCCAUAAAAGGAAAACUGCCGCGCUCCCUGGGGAUCAUGCUUUUCAACAGACCAGACCCAUUUUCGAACUCCGCUGAGAUAUUAUUGGGAAAAAUAAUCUGACAACUUUUCAUGAAGAUUGGACUUUAAAUGUUACUUCUAGAGUGUAAACAAGGUUUCACUAUAGCAUUAUAAGGAAAACUGCUCCGCCCCCCUGGCAGACAUGUUUUUCAACGGACCGGAACCAUUUUAGAACUCAGCUGAGAAAUCAUUUGGACAAAUAUUCUGACCAAGUUUCAUGAAGAUUGGACAAUAAAUGUUACUUCUAGAGUGUUUACAAGGUUUCACUAAAACCAUAUAAGGAAUACUGCCCUCCCCCUGGCAGACAUAUUUUUCAAUGGACCGGAACCAUUUUAAAACUCAGCCGAGUAUAUCAUUGGGGCAAAUAUUCUGACCAAGUUUCAUGAAGAUUAGACAAUAAAUGUUACACCUAGAGUGUUAACAAGGUUUUAACAUAGCCCUAUAAGGAAAACUGCCCCGCCCCCUGGCGGCAAUGUUUUUUAAAGGACUGGAACGAUUUUCGAACUCAGCCGAGCUAUCAUAAGAACAAAUGUUCUAACCAAUUUACAUGAAGAUUGGACCAUAAAUGUGACUUCUAGAGUGUUAACAAGGUUUUACUAUAGCCAAAUAAGGAAAACUGCCCCUCCACCUGGCGGCCCUGUUUCUCAACUGACCGGAACCAUUUUUGAACUCAGCUGAGAUAUAAUUGGGACAAAUGUUCUGACACAGUUUCAUGAAGAUUGGACAAUAAAUGUGACCUAUAGAGUGUUAACAAGCUUUUCCUUUAAUUUGACCUAGUGACCUAGUUUUUGACAUGACCCAGAUUCGAACUUGACCAAGAUAUCUUUGGGACAAAUUCUCUGACCAAGUUUCAUGAAGAUCAGACAAUAAAUAAGGCCUCUAGAGUGUUAACAAGGAAGUCUUGACUACGCACGACGGACAAAAGGUGAUCCCAAAAGCUCACCAUGAGCACAACACCAUGAGCGCGUUGUGCUCAGGUGAGCUAAAAACUUAAGGCUGAAAUAAAAUGGAUUGAUUUAUUUUAAACUGUUCCUACAAUGUUCUCUAUAUUAAUCCUAAACUGAUCAAUUUCUUUAUUUUUUUUAAUAAAGUGAAAAUGUUAGGUAAAACUGUAAUAAAGGAAACUAAUAUAUUGAGUUUUUCUUCACUAAUUACCGAUAAAUAAUGUAAGCAAAACAAUAAACAUUUUGAUUUUACAACUAUGAAGAUUGUUCUCUUGCUCUGGAUUCAUUUAAUGACUCAAAUUUUAAAUAUUCAUCUGCAAUAGUGGCGCAAAGGCAUUCUCUUCAAGGGAGACCAUGUUUCCAUUGUGGAUUAAGAGCGUUUACUGGUAUGCAUGUGACACAAUGCCGGCCAUGUGUUCAUAAGAUUAUCAUGAUAAGAUGCGUCAUUUUUGUCAUUUGACUGAAAUAUUGGUUUCUGAAUCGACGGGAACUCGCGAUGACACGAAUCUUUAGAUCCAAAUUCACCCCUGGCAUCGACUGUGCAUGCGUAGAGGUAUUAAAGGGAUUGAUCUCUAUGUUUGUGCAGUCUUUUAAGAGGAAUUUGGAUGUAAUAAAAUCUCUUCAUGAUCAUCUACAAUUUAAGUUCAUUCCACUGUGAAAGUUUGAACAAGAUCCAACCUGUGCAUAUUGUUGAUGACAAAGGAAUUUUGGCUAUGAAAUUAUUUGGCAGAAUUAUGACGUGUUGUCUGUUUUCCAAGAAUAUAUAGUCCCAAAAUAAAAAUUUUAAAAAAUAUAAGUGUAUUUUAAUAAUCAUUUUGAGAAAUUGUUUUUGUCUGGAAUGAAUUUGUAUUACAUACAUGUAUUGUUCUCUGUUUGCUCACAGUGUUUUUUUCGCUUACGCUAGACUAGAGUUUAAUUAAAAGCAGUAAACAUG